CUUGUCAUCGUUCUAGAAUCCAUUGGAGAUGAUGACUGGAAGAAGUAUGGAAAAAGAUCUUCAAAUAUCAGCAACGCAUACUAGCAAUUUAGGAUUUUAGAAAAUGCUGAUGUGAAAGAUGUUUUAAUCGGCGUGGACGGUGCACCUGACUAUGAUGCCGUGAAAAUAGGCAUUUUAUACCUGUUUGCAUCUUACUUGUAUGUAACUCAUAAAAGAAAAUGGUUAAUAAAUCUAUUUUUGGUCUUGUUGAAAAUUUCAAUGUAAUGGAGAUGACUUCAUGGAGAAAAGAAGAUGUUCAAGACCACACUAUCAACAAUUAGGAAAGGACUGAAAUAGGGCUGGUCACUACCAUAUGCAAUGUUUUUUUAUUACAUUUCGAGUAGUACGAGUCAGUUCUGAGUCUGAAUGGAACAUUUGCACAAGAAUUCAUCGAUGGUGGCCCUGCAUCAUGAACUGGACUGGCAGAGAAGCAUCCAUCAGUAGCCAUGCUGGAGGAGGGAGUUUUUUUCAAACCUGAUGUAAACAUUUUAAAUACGUGACUAUUGUUAAUUCUUAUAUUUGUUGAGUUUCAAAUUCUCUUGACAUUAAUUUUUUUUUUUUCCCCU
rnacentral:lncRNA from 1 species